GGGGGUCCUUAUUAUAGUAGAGUUCCAUCAUCAUUGACCCAUUAGAUUCUGAGAACUAGCGUGGACAAAAGUGUGGAAGAAAAAUAAUAAAAACUAGAUUUGCCAUUGCAAGCAAUAGCGGAUGGCACCCUUUCCCCAUUGCCAGGCCAGCGGCAGCCAUUUAGAAAAUUUUUGCUGUUUCCAUGGCAACGGCGGCCAUUUUGAAAAUUCGAAACUCAAAAGUUAAGUCUACAUAAGCUAGGCAAAAUUUGUUAUAAGUUUCAUUAAAUUUAAAGCAUUUUGAAGUUUUUCAUAAUUUUGCUGUUCCCAUGGUAACGGCGGCCAUUUUGAAUAUUCCAAAGUCAAACCCCCGCUGCAAUUUUUUCCCUCCAUAAUCAUAUACCAUUUAAUGUCUCUAGAAUAAAUUUAACAUUGAUGUUCUGGAAUGUUCUGUGAAAAUUCAAAGUUUUGACCUUUUUGCAUUGUUUCCAUGGUAACAACAGAUAUUUUGGAAAUUCCAACGCCAAAUUCCACAUCUUCCAAUGUUGCUCAUCGUUACUGUGAAGUUUCAUUGAAGUUUGGAGCAUUU
rnacentral:lncRNA from 1 species